CGGUAGCAGGAAGUGCUUGCACUUUGCUGACGAGUGGCGGACGGGUGAGUAAUACUUAGGAACAUGCCUUUGUGUGGGGGAUAACCAUUGGAAACGAUGGCUAAUACCGCAUAACGUCUUUGGACCAAAGAGGGCUUCCGGUCUCUCCCGCAAAGAGUGCUCUACGAGAGAUUAUCUUGGUGGUGAGGUAGGGGCUCCCCAGGGAGACGAUCUCUAUGUGCUCUGAGAGGAAGAUCACCCACUGUGACUGUGAGACACGGCCCACACUCCUACGAGAGGCAGCAGGGGAGAAUAUUGCACAGUGGGAGCAACCCUGAUGCACCCAUGCCGCGUGUGAGAAAAAGGCCUUCGGUGUGUAAAGCACUUUCAGGUGAGAGGAAAGGUUGGUGGUUAAUACCCAUCAUGUGAGACGAUAGCCACAGAAGAGACCCCGUAUAUCUCCGCGCCAACACGCGCGAAUAUACAGAGGGCGAGAGCGAUACUCGAAAUUAGUGCGCGUAGAGCGCACGCACGCGGUGAUAUAAUAUAUAUGAGAGACUCGCGCUCUCACUCUGAGAAUAGUAUAUAGAUGUGUAUGACUAGAGUCUUGGAGAGGAGAG
rnacentral:rRNA from 1 species